GACGUAGGGCGCGAGCGUUGUCCGGAUUUAUUGGGCGUAAAGAGUUCGUAGGCGGCUUGUUGCGUCGACUGUGAAAACCCGCGGCUUAACUGCGGGCUUGCAGUUGAUACGGGCAGGCUAGAGUUCGGUAGGGGAGACUGGAAUUCCUGGUGUAGCGGUGAAAUGCGCAGAUAUCAGGAGGAACACCGGUGGCGAAGGCGGGUCUCUGGGCCGAUACUGACGCUGAGGAGCGAAAGCGUGGGGAGCGAACAGG
rnacentral:rRNA from 1 species